rfam:Gossypium hirsutum cultivar TM-1 unplaced genomic scaffold scaffold290.1, whole genome shotgun sequence
AGUUAAAAAAUUCAUUCAUUUGUAUUGUUAAAUACUAACGUGAUUGAUGAAAUAAUCAAACAACAUCACAUAUACCUCAUGUUGAUGUACAAUGAUCAGUUUUUAAUAGCAAAAAUGGAUGACAUUUUAAAAA